AAAUGCGGUAUGUGGAUAUACCGAAAUCCCUACCGAAAUCUCCGAAAUCAAACUUUGAUAAAAACAAUGUUUCAUUAGUUAUUUCAGUGUAUUUUGCAACAAUCUGUAUUAAAAUACGCAGUUUUUCGAUAAAUAAUCAAUAUUAAUGGAGAUUUCGUGGGAUCUCGGGGAUUCCUGGGGAUUUUGGUAAUUACGGGAUUUUCGGUAUUUCUUCUCACCCGUCAAAAUGGCUGAAUUCGCCAGAAUGAACGCUAAGAAAAGUAUUUACAAAAUAACAUCAUCACAAACGAUGUAAAGUGAACGCUACUUAUCUGUUUUGUAUAUAAGUAUACGAUCCAUUGGAAAACACUAACAUUUGACAUAAAAAAACGCCAGUGGAUAUGGAAAUCUUCAUCGUUCGGAAUAGCAGACGGCGUCGACCAAUGGCUGCCAAUACAGGUUCGAAAAAAACGCGAGAAAGUAUUAACAAAAUAACAUAAUUAAAAAUGAUGUAAAGUGAACGCUAAUUCGCUGUUUUGUAGAUAAGUAUACGAUCUAUUGAAAAACCAUAACAUUUGACAUAAAAACACCCGUGGAUAUGGAAAUAGCAGACAUCACACGGCGUCUCAUCUGAUUCUACGCUGUUUGCCAAGGCCGAUAAUAUAGUGAAUGGAAAUGCACAAACUCAGUAACUGGCAAGCAUAUAUGCAUUAGUAGGUUGUUUCGUGAUUAUUUAGAAACGACUACAUAAUUCUUUUGGUUCAGCCAGUGCAACUUAACAGAAAUAAGUAUAAUAGUUUCUACACCUGACAACAAUGUGCCAACUUAUACAAGGUGGAUACAAACAUCUUAUACCAACAAAUAUACAAGAUACAAGAGAAUUAAGAGAGAUGUUUUACAACUUGUCUUUGGCAAGCUCCAUCAGAUGUGUUGUUUGCAGAAAGAAUUCUCGCUGGGUCUAUUCUUUUCUAAUUUAUUGCAAAGUGCAUAUUUACCAUAAACAUUCGCAUAGCAAACUAAAUUAUGUAUACAAAUUAUAAUGUCCAGUUAUUUUAAUGAUUAUUUUAAAUUCAAACCAACUGAUGCUACACAUCUGAAGUGUCUAUAGAUGUCUUUUUUGUAAUCUGAGUAUGGUUUUUGAUAUUUUUAAUCAAUUUACGUUGGAUGCUAUGACUGAUACUGUUCCAUUUUCAAUCUAUUAAAUGCAAUUAUGACUCAAAAUUUUAAAUAUAUAUCAAAGGAAACAAAAUAGUUCAUCAUUCCAAGUGUUCAUGGACUUGUCAUGCUCUUUAAUUAUUGUAUCGAUAGUUACCUCUCAAAGGGCGUCUUUAACUUCUUUAAGUAUUGAAGAGAAUGCAACUUUCACUCUUAAAAUUUCAAGAGUUAUGUUGGACAUGUGGGAACUGUGAAAGCAAGAUACUUAUUUCACUAAAUCUUUAAAAGGCACUUGAAUCAACAUCAUGAAAACAUCCUAUCAUUUUCAUAAAUAAUUGUUUUUAUAAAUUUGGAGGGUUUAUGUAUGUUUGAAUCUACGUCAGUGCUACAAAUGAAAGAACUGUUUCAUUUGCCUAAUUAGUUAGGUUUUGUGUAUCAAAUAACCUUUAUAAUAUGAGCUUUUAUUAUCGAUAUUUGAAAUUACAAAUUUACUUGCAUUAUUAAUUAGGCUAUUGUUUUAAUAAGCAAGUGUAUUUACAGGCAAUCUUGCCUGUAUAGACAAGCUAUCUUCUCAAUAUAUCUUAAUUAUGAACAUUGUUUUUGAUAAAAGUGUCUGGUAUUGUUAGUUAAGGUUAUCAAAGAUCGUAUUAACUAGCUUCUAUAUAUAUAGUAAACAUUUCUGUUUAUAUAUUUAUUGUUAAUCGUACUUAAAAAAAAUUGAACAUACCUUUUGUGAUACUUGGUAAUUGUUAACUAGAAUUAAAAUUAAGUUAAAUGAAAUAAUAAAAAAAUAAAGCUUU